CUCUACUGAGCUCUUCUGCCUGACCCUGUAUGGAAGACUAGUGAUUUUGUUGUUCUAUGGCUCAUCUCACGACAACAAGUCACAGUCUGCCUUAUGGUGCAUGGCCUCGCUCACCCACAGCUCG
rnacentral:pre_miRNA from 14 species